rnacentral:lncRNA from 1 species
UAAGCCUGCAGUAAAGCAAAGUAAACUUGACUCAUGGCUUUUGAAGGGAACUCACAUUGGGCUAGUCACUCAGUUACCCAAAAAUAAAUUUGAAAUAAAGACUUACCUAUUUUUUCGAGAUUCCAUGUCUUCCAAAACUCCUUUCUUUAAACAAAGCAGAAAAGAGUUCUUAUCCAAGGAGGUCCAAAAGCAGAAAAGAGUCCAAAUCCAAGAAGGUCCAAAAGCAGAAAGGAGUCCUGAUCCAAAGGGGGUCCAAAGGCAAAAUGGAGGUCCCUCACAAAUCCGACUGUAUUUAUGUGAAUCUGCACUAAGCCCCACCCACCUGAAUUGAAUUGACCAACCUGGAUCAGCCAUAUAACUCCACCCACCUGCUACGGCCACCAUUUUGUCACAAGGGUGUUGUUCACACAUAAAAAUUACUUUUACUACUUUUAUUAUUACAAUUUCUGGUAGGCAGUGUUCCCCUCCAGGAAAUGACACUAUUAGAAUGCCAAUAUCUCAGAAGGACAAAAUCACACAGGAAUUGGCCUUACAUCUACACACAGUCCUGAAUUACAGCUUUAACCAUUCAGCUGUGACCUUCCUAUCAGUUUGGAGUUGGAGACGGGAAUGGAUGUCGCAGAGGGUGAUUAGACAUAACCUACCAUUUGAUUGUGUCUUUUUGGUUACGAUGUGGAUAUUUAUUCCAUCUUUUUAUUCUUUUGCAUUUACAGGAUGCACUUGGCCCAGAUGGACGUAGCGGGUACCAGCACGUCACCGCUCUGGCCCACGCCAUAGGAGAGCUGUGUCAUCACACGUAUGUGACGCAGCUAAAGGCCAGAGAGAUCGUCGCCUUGUGGGAGAAGCUGCUGGAUCAUGACAAGGCACCAGAUGCCUUCCCCCCGCGCCGGUUGGUGACAGGCCGCUUUAAGAGCUCGCGGUCAAGCAGCAUUGCCGGCGUGGACAGCGUGCAGCGUUCCUUUCUAGGCAAAGGUGCGGGCGCUGCUCAGUCCCCUAAAGUCAGCAGGCUGGUGGAGGCCAUCUUCCUGAAGCUGUGUGACGUCCACAGUGAGGGACGUUCACUGGGCGGGGUCCAGGACAGUCGCUGCGCUUCCGUCCUGAGGGACUACAACACCACCCGGGACGUUGUAGUCAGCUGCCCCACGCUGAUGACCAACACCUCCAUCCACCUCUACAACGUCAACCAGAAGACGCUCCUGACGUGGCACACAAUGAGGAGCAAGGGAAUGAUGUGGUCAGACCAAGAACAGACGGUAUGGCCACAGCAGUUACAGGGGAGAGUUCUUCUUUGCCACAUCGGAGGGUCGCUCUGUGGAUGACUGGUUGAAAGAGAAGAGACGACUGGAUCCGAAAUACCAGCAGCCGCGCAGGUGAAGAACAAUCCACGACAAUGCAUGUGACUCCUUUUCAUCUUUUUUCUAAUUGCAGGAGACACCAACUUCACGUGCAGCAUAGUGUCACCUGUAUAUAGUUUGUGUAAUUUGCUUACAUAUAUUUUGUGUGUAUUUGAAAAUCUAUCUAAUUUUAAUAGAGUAUUUUGUUACAAAUUUGUAUUGUACAUAGUUUAAUUUUACUGUUGACAAUGUUCUCAAGCUAAUUCAAUUGAUGUUUUUGUUACAUAAAAAAUCUUUUCAAAGGAUCAGUUCAGUGUUGACAUCUUUUCUUUGUAAUUACAUAAUGUAUAAUUUAUAAAUCUGAUGUGAACCAGGUGAAUGAUGAUGAUCGCACAUGAUCGUAUUGAUCCAUCAGGCCAGAUCUAAUGAGAGUGUAGAACAUUUGAUCUGACCUGUGUGUCCCUCACUGACAGCUGUGUGACAGCUGAUCAUGAGUCAGAGCCACCAGGAAGACACUCGCCCAAUCACCAGCUCCCAAUCACGUUCCCUUUAUUCCAGGAAGACGAUCGUUCAGGGUAAAAGGCCCAUCCCCUGCCGACGGCCCCAGGUGGUCUAGGCGGCUCACAAUACCCAUUGUAUGUCCUGUAGGUGUGACUCUGUGGGGGGCAGGUAGGAGCUCCAUGAAGGCUGCCUGGAUGAGGCUGAAGUGUCAGGCUGCACCAACUUUAGGGAACUCCACAAAGAAGAAAUGGAAAGACUUAGGAAGGCGAGAUUUCACUGGAUUCUAAGUGAAAGAGCUAAACACAGACAGUUGACAGCACAAAACUUCUUUGUCACCUCAUCUUUAUCAUUCAUCACAUGCUAAACUAUUCUUUACAGAACCUCCUCUCAGAAAAACUAAGAGAGAGCGUAUAAAGGAGCCUUGUAUUGUAUUUUUAUAUUGUUAUUAUUAUGUAUUUUUUGUUACUUCCCUAUUGUGAUUGACUUGCUUCUGUUUUCACUUAGACACAUCAAGGGCAU